rnacentral:rRNA from 1 species
UACGUAGGAUGCAAGCGUUGUCCGGAAUUAUUGGGCGUAAAGAGACCGUAGGCGGCUCGCUAAGUUUGGGCUUAAAGACCGGGGCUUAACUCCGGGAAUGGCUCGAAAACUGGCAGGCUGGAGGACGGAAGAGGGAAGUGGAAUUCCGAGUGUAGCGGUGAAAUGCGUAGAUAUUCGGAGGAACACCAGUGGCGAAAGCGACUUCCUGGUCCGUCUCUGACGCUGAGGGUCGAAAGCUCGGGGAGCAAACAGG